AACGAACGCUGGCGGCAUGCCUAACACAUGCAAGUCGAACGAGACCUUCGGGUCUAGUGGCGCACGGGUGCGUAACGCGUGGGAAUCUGCCCUUGGGUUCGGAAUAACAGUUAGAAAUGACUGCUAAUACCGGAUGAUGACGUAAGUCCAAAGAUUUAUCGCCCAAGGAUGAGCCCGCGUAGGAUUAGCUUGUUGGUGAGGUAAAAGCUCACCAAAGCGACGAUCCUUAGCUGGUCUGAGAGGAUGAUCAGCCACACUGGGACUGAGACACGGCCCAGACUCCUACGGGAGGCAGCAGUGGGGAAUAUUGGACAAUGGGCGAAAGCCUGAUCCAGCAAUGCCGCGUGAGUGAUGAAGGCCUUAGGGUUGUAAGGCUCUUUUACCCGGGAUGAUAAUGACAGUACCGGGAGAAUAAGCCCCGGCUAACUCCGUGCCAGCAGCCGCCGUAAGAC
rnacentral:rRNA from 1 species